rfam:Schistosoma mattheei strain Denwood, Zambia genome assembly, scaffold: SMTD_scaffold0001893
UCCUAACUGAGGAGUCCCAAAGAGGACUAAACGCGCGUCAUGGAU